GAUGGUUGCUAGUGUGUUCUGGGUGUUCUAGAUGGUUGCUAGUGUGUUCUGGGUGUUCUAGGUGGUUGCUAGUGUGUUCUGGGUGUUCUAGGUGGUUGCUAGUGUGUUCUGUGUGUUCUAGGUGGUUGCUAGUGUGUUCUGG